rnacentral:rRNA from 1 species
ACGGUACCCUGUGAGGAAGCCCCGGCUAAUUACGUGCCAGCAGCCGCGGUAAUACGUAGGGGGCUAGCGUUAUCCGGAUUUACUGGGCGUAAAGGGUGCGUAGGUGGUCCUUCAAGUCGGUGGUUAAAGGCUACGGCUCAACCGUAGUAAGCCGCCGAAACUGGAGGACUUGAGUGCAGGAGAGGAAAGUGGAAUUCCCAGUGUAGCGGUGAAAUGCGUAGAUAUUGGGAGGAACACCAGUAGCGAAGGCGGCUUUCUGGACUGCAACUGACACUGAGGCACGAAAGCGUGGGUAGCAAACAGG